GUCACGCUUUUCUAACUCUUUAUUGUUGAGGGAAAGUAGUGAUGGUGGAAGCACGACACUGUGGUCAACAACCAAAACAACCCCACCUCAGCUGUUUAAACAAACUCAACGUGUUAUAGCACUCAACUUAAUUCGUAUAGAUGAUGAAGAGAUGAUGAUUUAUCGUUUUAAAGUGCGUAAGGUAAGUUCUCAAUGUCAAAUGUCACACACCUUGGUGUGGAUUAAUGUCACCUAGCUUCACUUUUGUUUUUAGCCGUAGCAUCAGGAAGAACAGCGUUACAUUCUUUUCCCUCGAGAGAAUGUAUAAAUGUUUGUUGCGUCUCCUGAGAUCACGAGUCGGCCGCCAGUGUCAAUCUACAACGCAGUUUGGUAGUCCUUGAACGGAGAUCGUAGAGCCAAUACUGGCUUUUGUCCGUGAAAGAAGAGUGACUUCCACCAACGUUUUUGCUCCAUCCUUAUUUUCGCGACGCACGCUCAUCCAGCUUCUUAUGCUGCUACACAACGUAUGCGAUCACUUCAGUGGUCGCUUCCAUCCACCAUGACACACCUGUAGUCGCUCACCACGGGAGAGUAUGCCCAGGUUCCCGUAGAUUAUCUACUAAUAAUCUACUUACGUUAAACUCUGUUUCUGUGAAAUAAUUCAAAUAUCAGGCCCCUUUUCUUGCGCGCAAACAAAGUUUUACUUGCUCCGUUUCUUUUUUCUAAUAACGCUUGAUGGCUUUAUUAUAUUUUGCCUUUGAUCAUUUUCAGCUGUCAAAUUAGAAAUUAGUCAGUUUCAGGCUUUCAGCUACUUUGGACAUCCCUGUAAAAAUGAUCGACAGUUACUGAGUAGUAACAAAACUACAAAAGUAACUUAUUUGUGAUAACAAAGUCCACUUGUGAAAUUUCCGAUAAUUGCUAUUUUUUUUAAUCUACUGUCAGUUUCUAAAUUCGAUGAUAAGUAAGUGUGUAAAUAUUCCUGUGACGCCGAAAGGAACCCAACAUAAUUUAUUUUUUUAAAUUUUCUUUUCCGUCCGAAUCUAGUCGUCCGUGGAUUGCUAAGGGCUGUCACUAGGUGGCUAAAUAUGUCAGUGUGUUUAGGGAUUGAACUAUUCGACCCUAGUGCGUCAAAGCCCUGACUGCAGACUCCUGUCUUUUCUUUCCAGACGGUGUCCGAGAACGUUGGGCGAGGCAUUGCGAGGUAAUUGUGUUCCUGAAAGUGUUCGUCAGAAAAAUGGUAACUACCUCUGUAUUCUAUAUGGUUAUCGAAAAUGAGAUUUUUGUGCGUGGUGAAUUUACAAGUAACAUGUUCAUCAACGUGUACAAUCCCAUCAUCAUGUGUCCUGCUGUAUAAUUUCCUAAAAUGUCGUCACUUGCUUUACGUUGCACGUUUCGUCACAAGAUGAGGUAUUUCCACGCCAUUCGUCUUCGAUCAAGCUGAACCGAAAGUGAACUAAUAUAAAGCAACAUAUCGAAGAUCGUGCCUUUAUCCACGUGGUCGCUGCCGUGUCAUGAAGAAGUUGAGAGGGUCUCUUCUUUAUUGCAAGACAAAUGUGAUGAAAAGAAGAAAUCUGAGAAGGUAAUUAAGUAUUUGUAAGCUUAACCAAUUAGUUUCAAUGACUGAUUUUUGAUUAUAUAAUUUAAUGCCAAGGAAGUUUUGUUGCAGCCAACUGAUGCAAGGGAGUUAAAAUCAAGUUGAGCUGCAGCCCCUGGAAGCAGUCUAUAUUACUGGCGUCAUCCUGAAGUGGUGAAAUGUUACCUGAAGUUCAACAGCAACAAAGACAUCUUGAAAUGGUGACAACGUGACGCAUUUUACGUGUGUUGGUAAUUUAGGGGCAUGUGUCGAGUAGAAGGAAGACGAGUGAAAUUUUAAUUCUUUCUGGGACGCUGUUCGAGGGCGUUUUUUUUUUAAGUUACUUCUGGGUGAUGUCAUCUAAAAGGUAACAUGUCCUUGGCUCAUUUGAUCAUGUGGCCUGCUGUACAUUUUCCAAAAAUGUCGUCCCUUGGUGCAUGACACACGUUGUCACAUGAAUAGGUAUCUCCACGCCAUUCGGCCAAACUGAACUGAAAGUGAAUCAUUUCAAGCAACAUGUUGAAUAUUUUGCCUUUCUCCAUGGGUCCAUGGGCUGUGUCAUGAAGAUGGAUCUUUGAGAGGGUCACUACUGCAUUGCAAGACAGAAUGAUGAAAAGAGGGAAAAUAUUAAGGUAAAAGAAUCCUUCCCUUAUCUGCUGAAGAAUUUGAGAACACAGCAAAGGGUGGACCACAUUUCUGUCAUGCAGGAGGUUUUGCUGCUGCAGCCAGCCAUUGAAAGGGAGUUCAAAUGAAGUUGAGUUGAAGCUCCUGGAAGCAGUCUACAUUGCUGGUGUCAUCCUAAAGUUAAACAGCAAGACAGAUAAGCUGCAGUGUCAAUGUGAUGCUGCAUACUGUCAAUGGAGCUGGUGUUAUCCACAAGUGUAGAAGCAAAACUAGAAGCACAGGUGCAAGAACACAUCCCGAAAUGGAUGGUGGAAAUUUGCCGUGGUUUUGUAGUCUGCUGCCUGUUCAAGCUGUUGCUAUCCUGGAUUUUGCCUUAGUCCUUGAAAUAGCAGAUGUUGGUGGUAUCCAGAUGUUGCUGUGGCAGUGAAAUUCGGGUUGAAGAUUAAAAUACUUUCGUCUGAUAAAUGUUUAUCGAUCCAUGUAGCGUAUGAUUGAAGUAACUUGAUAUUAAUUUGCUAUUCCAUGUCACAUGUUGCAGCCCGUGUUGGUGAGAGUUCUUUGACAUUAAGUUCUAUCUGCUGGUGAUGUUGGUUAUGAUAUUACCUUUAUCCACAUCCACAUGAUAUCAAAUUAUUCCUUAUUGAUUGAUGACCAAACCUCUCAAGUCAAACCUGCAAUCUUGUGUUAUGUUAACUUCAUUGUUUAUAUCUUAUCACAUUUCACUUGUAAUCAAUAUAAAUAAAACCCAAAU